rnacentral:rRNA from 1 species
UUGGAGGGCAAGUCUGGUGCCAGCAGCCGCGGUAAUUCCAGCUCCAAUAGCGUAUAUUAAAGUUGUUGCAGUUAAAAAGCUCGUAGUUGAACUUCAGACCUGACCGGGUGGUCCGCCUAACGGUGUGUACUGUCUGGCCGGGCCUUACCUCUUGGUGAGCCGGCAUGCCCUUAAUUGGGUGUGUCGGGGAACCAGAACCUUUACCUUGAGAAAAUUAGAGUGUUCAAAGCAGGCUUACGCCGGAAUACAUUAGCAUGGAAUAAUAAAAUAGGACGUGCGGUU